GUUGGAAACUUAUCAAAAGGAAAGAACAUUGAUAAGGGACAACAUGAUGAUCCUCCUAUUUUUCCAAAUUCUUCGUUAAUACAGAUAUGGCCUGAAGGAACAAACAUAGAGGCACAAGCUCGUAAGCUGAGGAAUGUUUAAUUUUUAAUUGACUUCAUUCUGUAAACAUUUUGUACGUAACAAUUACAUUGUUGAAUAAAAAAUUAUAACAUGUAUUAAGGUUAUUACUUUUUGUUACUGUUUGCUGGGACAUUUACUGAUUUAAUCAGCUUGCAUUACUGAUUUUGCUGUUCAAAGUCACUGUUUUAGUAGUAUAAUAUUACUGAUUAAAAUAGUCAAUAUUACUGAUUUAAUCAGCUCACAUUACUGAUUUUGCUGUUUUAAGUCACUGUUUCUAGUAGUCCAAUAUUACUGAUUGAAACAGAUAUUAAUAACUAAUUCUUUCAGUGAAAUGUCACUGAUUCUAAGUGGUAUACUUAUAACUGCUUCAAUCAGUGACUAUUUACUGUUUCUCAGUAAAAAUACACUGAU